AUUGAACGCUGGCGGCAUACCUUACACAUGCAAGUCGAACGGUAACAGGUCUUCGGAUGCUGACGAGUGGCGAACGGGUGAGUAAUACAUCGGAACGUGCCCGAGAGUGGGGGAUAACGAGGCGAAAGCUUUGCUAAUACCGCAUACGAUCUCAGGAUGAAAGCAGGGGACCGCAAGGCCUUGCGCUCACGGAGCGGCCGAUGGCAGAUUGGGUGGUUGGUGGGAUAAAAGCUUACCAAGCCGACGAUCUGUAGCUGGUCUGAGAGGACGACCAGCCACACUGGGACUGAGACACGGCCCAGACUCCUACGGGAGGCAGCAGUGGGGAAUUUUGGACAAUGGGCGCAAGCCUGAUCCAGCCAUGCCGCGUGCAGGAUGAAGGCCUUCGGGUUGUAAACUGCUUUUGUACGGAACGAAAAGACUCUGGUUAAUACCUGGGGUCCAUGACGGUACCGUAAGAAUAAGCACCGGCUAACUACGUGCCAGCAGCCGCCGUAAAAC
rnacentral:rRNA from 1 species